AAAGUCAUUGUGAAAUAGAAAAGAAAAAGCAUGAGAUGUUGAGAUGUACCUUUGAGCUAUUUCAGAGAACUGCUUUAUCAUUGGUUGAUCUGUAGUCUCGACAUUAGCAAAAGUCAAUAUUCACUUGAACAGUUCAUGGCAAAUCUACAAAAAGUCUUAUAGAAAUGUGUAGAGUAUGCUUGACAGUUUAUGACAACUGGAUCAAAAAUUUAGCAUUUACUGCAAAUACAUAUACGAUGAGCUAAUGCCUUGAUGUUUUAAGGGGUAAGACUAUAGCAACAACAAUAAGAAGUGAUAAUGUAGGAAAUAGCAGACAAAUCAGUUGCAUAAUCAGUUGCAUGAAUGUACCAAAGCAAACGCAACUUGUUAAAAAAAAAAAAAAAGAAACAUUUUAUGAUAUGUACAAGUGACUAGACGAUGUGGAGGUUGAACAAGUAGUAUUGAGAAUGUCAUUUCUGAUCUGAGAAAUGCACCAAACUGUAAGCUGACUUUGGCCCUUUUAUCUCCAUCGAAGGUUCUGAUUGGUGUGUGACAAAUUUUGAGUCCUAGUGUUUCCAUUUGGGUAAUUGUUUUCUAAUUGAGCUCAAACUUUGCAGACUUCAGUUAACAAUAUUGAAUGCUAGUGCUUUCUAAAUGAUCACAUGGUGUAAGCGCUGAGAAAUGUAGGGAUUUGUGUGUAGAGUUUUGCAGUAACAGUUCACCAAAUCUGACUCAUGUGUUAAAGCAGGGAAAUAGUGUUUAUAGUUCAGGGAAAUGGGUGUGCUUUUUGAAAAAUGCCAUUAUGGUUUUGAAAUUUUAGUUCAAAAGACUGGUUAUAGUGUUUUAGCAAUCGAGAAAAACUGUAACAAAAUAUUUGACGUAAAGAGCAACAUCGUAAGACAACACGCCUUCAAAAAUGUCGUGACCAAGGCAAGGUGGCAAGCCAGGUUGGCAAACUUUAAAGUUCUUCAAAGAGUUGAAAACUGAAUCAAACUUUAUGCCUUGAACGGUUUCAUUUUCGGUCUGUAAUUGGUUAACAACAGCACUGCAGUUUUCAACAGUGCGCAGUGGACCACACAAAUUUGGGUCAACACUCUGGAAUUCUUCUUUAGUAAUUAGACAGUACCUACAAAAAUAGCUUGACUAACUAAAAUUUUCAGUGAAUCCACCUAUGCAGUGGGAUCCCAAAUUGUCUCCGGCAAUGCAGUAAAGUGUGCCUUUUAUAAUAGAUUGAUCUGACAAAGCAAUUCCAUUUUCCUCAAGGUCUUUCAGGUCUGUUACUAGCUCUGAGAAAACACUUUCAUGGCCAAAGUCUUUAAAGUCUUUUUCUCUGCACAACAUAACCAGCUGCAUAUGUUCUGUGUUUGACCUGAGAUGAACUGGCAAAUUGACAAGAGAAAGGUAUACGGCCAAAAUUUUGUGUUUUUUUUCGUGCAGACCCUAAAGGGUUGACCACCUCAAAAGCAUCCUGAUAGAGCAGUAGCUGGAGGUUUGGGAUGUCUUGAGAGAAAUUCCUGCACUUCAGUAUUUGGCCAUCUGAGCAAUCACAAAGUACAUCAGCAGAGUUUUUUUCAGGCAGGUGCAUUGAAAUGCACUUCCUUCCAAAAUCUGAAUUCAGCAGACACUUCAAUGUGUCUUUCACAGGUACAUAGUAUGCAAAUUGCUCUGUCCGGUUCUCAUCUCUACCUAGAAGUAUUCUUUUUGGUUCAACGUAUUGAAACACUUUUUUAAAGGUCUGACUCCUUGAAUACUCUGUUCGCAUUGGUCCUUUAUGACACACAGAAAACAAGUCUGAUUCCUUCACAGUAGCAAAGAUUUGAGAAAUAGUCUCAUUAGGUAAUGACAAAUUCUCCAAAAGUGAAUGUAGCUUACUAAAAGUAUAUGUCUGUCCCAAUUCAUGAAUAUUUUGCAUUUCAUCUACAAUAUUUUGUAUUGUAGAAGCUGGAAGAAGAAACUGUCCUUGUAAUUUCAUAUAAAACAGGCUCACAUUUCUUAAAUACAAAUCAUCAAAAUUUUGAAAUGAGCCCAUUUCACUUACUUCACACUCACCUGUAUUUGAAUCCAGGUCAUCAGGACACUGCUCUGAUGUAACUGACAGUAUCUCUGAUGCAGAAGGCCGAUGUGAAUCAGUAAUGCUGUUAACUGAACAGUUCCUGUGCUUCCUAGACAUAUGAGAGGCCUUCAUAGAGAUGGUGAGAGAAAAAACAGGACUGGAGAAAGUCAACAUUGAGAAUAUUUGGAGCGUGUAUGACACAUUGUUCUGUGAGAAAACACAUAAUAUCACACAUCCUGGCUGGGUUAACCAAAGUGUGAUGGAGACGCUGAAGGUCUUGAAUGA